AUUGAACGCUGGCGGCAGGCCUAACACAUGCAAGUCGAGCGGAUGAAGGGAGCUUGCUCCUGGAUUCAGCGGCGGACGGGUGAGUAAUGCCUAGGAAUCUGCCUGGUAGUGGGGGAUAACGUCCGGAAACGGGCGCUAAUACCGCAUACGUCCUGAGGGAGAAAGUGGGGGAUCUUCGGACCUUACGCUAUCAGAUGAGCCUAGGUCGGAUUAGCUAGUUGGGGGGGUAAAGGCCUACCAAGGCGACGAUCCGUAACUGGUCUGAUAGGAUGAUCAGUCACACUGGAACUGAGACACGGUCCCGACCUCUACGGGAGGCAGCAGUGGGGAAUAUUGGACAAUGGGCGAAAGCCUGAUCCAGCCAUGCCGCGUGUGUGAAGAAGGUCUUCGGAUUUUAAAGCACUUUAAGUUGGGAGGAAGGGCAGUAAGUUAAUACCUUGCUGUUUUGACGUUACCAAAAGAAAGAGCACCGGCUAACUUCGUG
rnacentral:rRNA from 1 species